CACGUAGGCGGACUGGUCAGUUGGGGUGAAAUCCCAGGGCUCAACCCUGGAACUGCCUUCAAUACUGCCAGUCUUGAGUCCGAGAGAGGUGAGUGGAAUUCCUAGUGUAGAGGUGAAAUUCGUAGAUAUUAGGAAGAACACCAGUGGCGAAGGCGGCUCACUGGCUCGGUACUGACGCUGAGGUGCGAAAGCGUGGGGAGCAAACA
rnacentral:rRNA from 1 species